AUUGAACGCUGGCGGCAGGCCUAACACAUGCAAGUCGAGCGGAUGAAGGGAGCUUGCUCCUGGAUUCAGCGGCGGACGGGUGAGUAAUGCCUAGGAAACUGCCUGGUCGUGGGGGAUAACGUCCGGAAACGGGCGCUAAUACCGCAUACGUCCUGAGGGAGAAAGUGGGGGAUCUUCGAACCUCACGCUAUCAGAUGAGCCUAGGUCGGAUUAGCUAGUUGGUGGGGUAAAGGCCUACCAAGGCGACGAUCCGUAACUGGUCUGAGAGGAUGAGCAGUCACACUGGAACUGAGACACGGUCCAGACUCCUACGGGAGGCAGCAGUGGGGAAUAUUGGACCAUGGGCGAAAGCCUGAUCCAGCCAUGCCGCGUGUGUGAAGAAGGUCUUCGGAUUGUAGAGCACUUUAAGUUGGGAGGAAGGGCAGUAAGUUAAUACCUUGCUGUUUUGACGUUACCAACAGAAUAAGCACCGGCUAACUUCGUG
rnacentral:rRNA from 1 species